AAAAAAAAAAAAAAGACUCAGAUACAAAUUACUUGCAGAUACAAAAUACUUUCAAACCCACUCUUGUAAUUUCGUAUAGCUGCUAGGUAGAAUGCUGCUCUUGGAGAAGAUUAACUUUGUGGGUAUCCAUGUAACAAACAACUGGAUUUGAUAUACUGAGUGUCCCAAAGAAAAAAAAUAUAAUACUGGCAUACUUUACUAAUUCGUACAGCUAAUUUCUCUCAUCCAAGAUUGUGAUGAACUGCUGGAGCUACAGGGUUAAAACCAACAAGUCUCCAGCAGCGUCAGACCAGCUGCUUUCACGUGCUCUCUGUUCACCUCAGUGCAGCAAUGUCAGAGUACUGACCUUCCACUGACGUGCAUCACAUAAAUAAGCCAAACUCCUGUCUUCCCUUCAAUGGCAACAACAUACUGCUUCUGGCAUCAUGCUGAUCAUGUGGAAGCAGAUAUCCUACCUGUGUUCCUACUGAGGUAAAAUGAGUCAAGCUACUCCAGUACAUUUCCAUUUACUUUUUGGGUCUGUAUAGUGGAACCCCACAUUUGGGUGUGACCCACUCCACUGAGAAGUCCCAGCAUGCACUGGACUUCCAUCAUCAUCUGUGUCCACACUCUGCGCCGGACAGUGGAAUCUACCUGCAAACAU